rnacentral:lncRNA from 1 species
AUGCAUAUGAUUUUUUUUUAUUGCAGGUUUUACAAUGCCUCAUAGAACCAGACCCAUGACUGCACUCUUGUUGUUCACUUCACUAAAUGCAGUUUUGUGUGCAACAAUUACACCUGUCUAUGAUUUCGUUUGCUUUCUUCCUUACUGGGAAAGAAGGAGGGAAAGGCGUCGUCUGGAACGUGAAGCUUCUAACCAUCAAAGGAUCUAG